rnacentral:misc_RNA from 1 species
GGAGUAUCGCUGCCUCGUGCCUGUACACCGAACGGUCGGCGGGCGAUCCGCGUCGGUCUCGCUGGGUGGUAUGGUUCCCCAGAGGCCGGUUCUUGUGCUGCCUACCCCUUCAGGGGAAGCGGGCCGCUCGAUGCAAGCCUCCAUCCCGCGCCCUCCAACGGGCGCAGGAGGACAACGGAGCACCCCCCGCGUUCCACCGAGCCUCCUCGGUCGCGUGGCGCGCGGGGGCGUGCGAUGCUCUCGGACCCAGCGAACGCCGUGGGCGGGGACUCACGUCCCAGUCCCGAUAGAAGCUCCCACAUAAUGCUGACGGCCGCUCCCGUCCCCCGACCGCCCCGGCGGCGCGGGGGCGAGGCGCGGCGUCGCGGAGGAAUGCUACCU